UACGUAGGCAGCGAGCGUUGUUCGGAGUUACUGGGCGUAAAGGGUGUGUAGGCGGUUUCUUAAGUUUGGUGUGAAAUCUCCCGGCUUAACCGGGAGGGUGCGCCGAAUACUGAGGGACUCGAGUGCGGGAGGGGAGAGUGGAAUUCCUGGUGUAGCGGUGAAAUGCGUAGAUAUCAGGAGGAACACCGGUGGUGUAGACGGCUCUCUGGACCGUAACUGACGCUGAGACACGAAAGCGUGGGUAGCAAACAGG
rnacentral:rRNA from 1 species